GACGAACGCUGGCGGCGUGCUUAACACAUGCAAGUCGAACGGAAAGGCCCUGCUUUUGUGGGGUGCUCGAGUGGCGAACGGGUGAGUAACACGUGAGUAACCUGCCCUUGACUUUGGGAUAACUUCAGGAAACUGGGGCUAAUACCGGAUAGGAGCUCCUGCUGCAUGGUGGGGGUUGGAAAGUUUCGGCGGUUGGGGAUGGACUCGCGGCUUAUCAGCUUGUUGGUGGGGUAGUGGCUUACCAAGGCUUUGACGGGUAGCCGGCCUGAGAGGGUGACCGGCCAAAUGGGACUGAGAUACGGCCCAGACUCCUACGGGAGGCAGCAGUGGGGAAUAUUGCACAAUGGGCGGAAGCCUGAUGCAGCAACGCCGCGUGCGGGAUGACGGCCUUCGGGUUGUAAACCGCUUUCGCCUGUGACGAAGCGUGAGUGACGGUAAUGGGUAAAGAAGCACCGGCUAACUACGUG
rnacentral:rRNA from 1 species